rnacentral:rRNA from 1 species
UGUAUAAUGGGUCAGCGACUUAUAUUCUGUAGCAAGGUUAACCGAAUAGGGGAGCCGAAGGGAAACCGAGUCUUAACUGGGCGUUAAGUUGCAGGGUAUAGACCCGAAACCCGGUGAUCUAGCCAUGGGCAGGUUGAAGGUUGGGUAACACUAACUGGAGGACCGAACCGACUAAUGUUGAAAAAUUAGCGGAUGACUUGUGGCUGGGGGUGAAAGGCCAAUCAAACCGGGAGAUAGCUGGUUCUCCCCGAAAGCUAUUUAGGUAGCGCCUCGUGAAUUCAUCUCCGGGGGUAGAGCACUGUUUCGGCAAGGGGGUCAUCCCGACUUACCAACCCGAUGCAAACUGCGAAUACCGGAGAAUGUUAUCACGGGAGACACACGGCGGGUGCUAACGUCCGUCGUGAAGAGGGAAACAACCCAGACCGCCAGCUAAGGUCCCAAAGUCAUGGUUAAGUGGGAAACGAUGUGGGAAGGCCCAGACAGCCAGGAUGUUGGCUUAGAAGCAGCCAUCAUUUAAAGAAAGCGUAAUAGCUCACUGGUCGAGUCGGCCUGCGCGGAAGAUGUAACGGGGCUAAACCAUGCACCGAAGCUGCGGCAGCGACGCUUAUGCGUUGUUGGGUAGGGGAGCGUUCUGUAAGCCUGUGAAGGUGUACUGUGAGGUAUGCUGGAGGUAUCAGAAGUGCGAAUGCUGACAUAAGUAACGAUAAAGCGGGUGAAAAGCCCGCUCGCCGGAAGACCAAGGGUUCCUGUCCAACGUUAAUCGGGGCAGGGUGAGUCGACCCCUAAGGCGAGGCCGAAAGGCGUAGUCGAUGGGAAACAGGUUAAUAUUCCUGUACUUGGUGUUACUGCGAAGGGGGGACGGAGAAGGCUAUGUUGGCCGGGCGACGGUUGUCCCGGUUUAAGCGUGUAGGCUGGUUUUCCAGGCAAAUCCGGAAAAUCAAGGCUGAGGCGUGAUGACGAGGCACUACGGUGCUGAAGC